AUGGUGAAGCCUCGUCCUCCAUCAGAUCCUUAUUUGAGCAUGAAUCCAACUGUUAUCACAUUUUUCAAGGAGGAAGAGGUGGUGAAGGAGGAGAACAACUGGGUUGACCCCAAGAGAAGAACCUGUCACUUCAAGAAGAUGAACGUGACAUUUCUCCCACGAAUAAACAGCAUGUUCUUUCUGGCCAUGUUCCUUGCCACCAUUGAUCUCAGCCUUCAGCAGCUGCAAAGCUUGAAAGAUCCAGAAUCGGUGCCUCUUGGUGGGACGGUCACCAUAUCCUGCAGAUACUCUACUGGAGUCAUCUCUGACAACAAUUACCCUUGGUGGGUCCAGCAACGACCAGGCAAAGCACCUCGGCUCUUGGUUUACCAGACCAGUGUCAAACCUUCUGAUGUUCCAGCCAGGUUCUCUGGGUCCAGGUCAGGGAAUGUCAUGUCCCUGACCAUCACGGGGGCCUUGGCUGAAGAUGAAGCCAUCUAUUCCUGUUCCGUACACACAGGGAGUGCAUGGCACAGCCAUUCAGCGCAAUGGGGAAGGAAGACAAAAACUCUGCCCUUCUUGACUCUCUUCAAGCCUCAGUAG